GGCCGACUCGCAAGAGUUCUAUAAUAGAGCCGUCCACUUCAAAGACAAAUCCUUCUAAUGCUGGUCGCCAAAACCAACCAGGAAAUCGAAAAAAACAUUUCGCGAAAAGGUAUGCAACGAAAAUGUACUUUAAUGAUGCUAUUGGUCGGUGAAAUCAUUUCAAAACUGAAGCUGGAAUCAAAAGUGACGAGCGUUCGCGAAUACUCUGCUGAUCGAGCCUGAUACGAAACAUCAAGACGGAUUUAAUUGUGGUAAGCACAUAACACAUAUCCCUGGAUAUUUCAGUUAUGUCAAUGCUGUUAUAUUUCCUCAUUACAAAACUUUAUUGUGCACUUAUAGCGCUGUGGAAACCCAGACGGAUCAGCAGCCAGAUGAAACAAUACAAUGC